GAUGAACGCUGGCGGUAUGCUUAACACAUGCAAGUCGAACGGACUCCUCGGAGUUAGUGGCGGACGGGUGAGUAACGCGUGAGAAUCUGGCUUUGGGUUCGGGACAACCGCUGGAAACGGUGGCUAAUACCGGAUGUGCCGAGAGGUAAAAGAGAAAUUGCCUGAAGAUGAGCUCGCGUCUGAUUAGCUAGUUGGUGAGGUAAAGGCUCACCAAGGCAGCGAUCAGUAGCUGGUCUGAGAGGAUGACCAGCCACACUGGGACUGAGACACGGCCCAGACUCCUACGGGAGGCAGCAGUGGGGAAUUUUCCGCAAUGGGCGAAAGCCUGACGGAGCAAUACCGCGUGAGGGAAGAAGGCUCUUGGGUUGUAAACCUCUUUUCUUAGGGAAGAACAAAAUGACGGUACCUAAGGAAUCAGCAUCGGCUAACUCCGUG
rnacentral:rRNA from 1 species